GAGGGUAUAGCACAGUGGUAGAGUGCAUGCUUAGCAUACAUGAGGUCUUGGGUUCAAUCUCCAGUACCUCCA
rnacentral:tRNA from 1 species